rnacentral:rRNA from 1 species
AUAAAGCCUGGGAAACUGGGUCUAAUACCGGAUAGGACCAUGCUUUAGUGUGUGUGGUUGGAAAGUUUUUUCGGUGUAGGAUGAGCCCGCGGCCUAUCAGCUUGUUGGUGGGGUAAUGGCCUACCAAGGCGGCGACGGGUAGCCGGACUGAGAGGUUGGUCGGCCACAUUGGGACUGGGAUACGGCCCAG